UACGGAGGGUGCAAGCGUUAUUCGGAAUUAUUGGGCGUAAAGCGUCCGCAGGUGGCUGUUCAAGUCUGCUGUCAAAGACCGGGGCUUAACCUCGGAAAGGCAGUGGAAACUGAACAGCUAGAGUAUGGUAGGGGGAGAGGGAAUUCCUGGUGUAGCGGUGAAAUGCGUAGAGAUCAGGAAGAACAUCGAUGGCGAAGGCGAUCUGCUGGACCAUAACUGACACUCAGGGACGAAAGCUAGGGGAGCAAAUGGG
rnacentral:rRNA from 1 species